rnacentral:lncRNA from 1 species
AGGAGUCGGAGCCCUUGGGGGGUCCCCAGCCCCUCCUCUACCCGCCCCCCUCGUUGGGGCCUUGACCCGGGAGUCGCUGUUGGCCAUCAUCUUUCCCCUCCUUCGUUCAUCCUCUAUUUAUAGCGGCCCCCAGCAUUUCCCGCCCCCCCCAACCCCCUGCUUGUUGUCCAACUUCUCACGGAGCAGCGGGAGAGCAAGCGGCAGGACUCGGCUGAGGAGGCCACCAUGGCAGAGCUUCAGGAGGUGCAGAUCACUGAGGAGAAGCCACUGUUGCCAGGACAGACGCCUGAGGCUGCCAAGGUUUGUAGAGACUCUCUGACUUCCCUGCCUUAAGCCCAUGCUCUGAAAGAUCCCCCCCCCUGCUCCCCGACUCCCCAGGCCCACAGCACUCAUUCUAAUGCAC